rnacentral:rRNA from 1 species
CCUACGGGGGGUAGCAGUGAGGAAUAUUGGUCAAUGGACGGAAGACUGAACCAGCCAAGCCGCGUGCGGGAGGAAGGCACUGUGUAUUGUAAACUUCUUUUGUACGAGAAUAAACCCCGAGACGCGUCUCGGGUUGAGAGUAUCUGACGAAUAAGGAUCGGCUAACUCCGUGCCAGCAGCCGCGGUAAUACGGAGGAUACGAGCGUUAUCCGGAUUUAUUGGGUUUAAAGGGUGCGUAGGCGGUUUGAUAAGUUAGCGGGCAAAUGGCGGGGGUCAACCCCGGAACCGCCUCUAAUACUGGUGGACUAGAGAAUAGUUGCGGUAGGCGGAAUGCAUGGUGUAGCGGUGAAAUGCAUAGAUAUCGCACAGAACACCGAUUGCGAAGGCAGCUUACCAACU